GUAGGGUGCGAGCGUUGUCCGGAAUUAUUGGGCGUAAAGGGCUCGUAGGCGGUUUGUCGCGUCGGGAGUGAAAACACUGGGCUUAACUCAGUGCUUGCUUCCGAUACGGGCAGACUAGAGGUAUUCAGGGGAGAACGGAAUUCCUGGUGUAGCGGUGAAAUGCGCAGAUAUCAGGAGGAACACCGGUGGCGAAGGCGGUUCUCUGGGAAUUACCUGACGCUGAGGAGCGAAAGUGUGGGGAGCGAACAGGAUUAGAUACCCUGGUAGUCCACACCGUAAACGUUGGGCGCUAGGUGUGGGGUCCAUUCCACGGAUUCCGUGCCGCAGCUAACGCAUUAAGCGCCCCGCCUGGGGAGUACGGCCGCAAGGCUAAAACUCAAAGGAAUUGACGGGGGCCCGCACAAGCGGCGGAGCAUGCGGAUUAAUUCGAUGCAACGCGAAGAACCUUACCUGGGUUUGACAUACGCCGGAAAGCCGUAGAGAUACGGCCCCUUUUAGUCGGUGUACAGGUGGUGCAUGGCUGUCGUCAGCUCGUGUCGUGAGAUGUUGGGUUAAGUCCCGCAACGAGCGCAACCCUCGUCCUAUGUUGCCAGCAAGCCUUCGGGUGUUGGGGACUCAUAGGAGACUGCCGGGGUCAACUCGGAGGAAGGUGGGGAUGACGUCAAGUCAUCAUGCCCCUUAUGUCCAGGGCUUCACGCAUGCUACAAUGGCCGGUACAAAGGGCUGCGAUCCCGUGAGGGGGAGCGAAUCCCAAAAAGCCGGUCUCAGUUCGGAUUGGGGUCUGCAACUCGACCCCAUGAAGUCGGAGUCGCUAGUAAUCGCAGAUCAGCAACGCUGCGGUGAAUACGUUCCCGGGCCUU
rnacentral:rRNA from 1 species